rnacentral:rRNA from 1 species
UACGUAGGGGGCAAGCGUUGUCCGGAUUCAUUGGGCGUAAAGAGCGUGUAGGCGGCCAGGUAGGUCGGUUGUGAAAACUGGAGGCUCAACCUUCAGACGUCGAUGGAAACCGUGCGGCUAGAGUCCGGAAGAGGAGAGUGGAAUUCCUGGUGUAGCGGUGAAAUGCGCAGAUAUCAGGAAGAACACCCGUGGCGAAGGCGGCUCUCUGGGACGGUACUGACGCUGAGACGCGAAAGCGUGGGGAGCGAACAGG